CUCAAUAGUUAAUCUACAAGAAAUAUUUAGACACUUCAUAGCUGAAGUACAGAUAUCAGCAACUCCUUAACUCAUGUUUUUUACAUGAUGGGCCCAGACCAAAAUUCUACCUCUCUCUGAUAGAACACAGACAUCUUUAAGAAACACAAACAAAACAGCUGUGUUGCAAAACAUCAAAAACAUUGAAAACACAGAGGAGAUUUUCCAAGUCACUCCGAAUUCCA